rnacentral:rRNA from 1 species
CUUAGCAAUGUCAGCCAAACUCCGAAUGCCAUUAAUGUGUUGUGCGGCAGUGAGACUGUGGGGGAUAAGCUUCAUAGUCGAGAGGGAAACAGCCCAGAUCGCCGGUUAAGGCCCCUAAGGGUGUGCUAAGUGGAAAAGGAUGUGGGAUCGCGAAGACAGCCAGGAGGUUGGCUUAGAAGCAGCCAUCCUUGAAAGAGUGCGUAAUAGCUCACUGGUCGAGUGGUUCUGCGCCGACAAUGUAGUGGGGCUCAAGCACACCGCCGAAGCCGCGGCAAUAAUAUUUUGUUAUUGGGUAGGGGAGCGUCGUGCACGUGUUGAAGCGUUACCGUGAGGAGGCGUGGAGUGUGUGCGAGUGAGAAUGCAGGCAUGAGUAACGAAUUGGAAGGUGAGAAUCCUUCCCGCCGGAUGACUAAGGGUUCCUGGGUCAAGUUCGUCUUCCCAGGGUGAGUCGGGACCUAAGGCGAGGCCGACAGGCGUAGUCGAUGGAUAACCAGUUGAUAUUCUGGUACCCGAGUAUAUGCGCCCCUGAUAAAGCACUGAUACUAACCACCGUAAGCUGUUGUGAUUGGCCUUCGGGUUAACAUGGUGGCAAGCCGUGGGGCCUGAUGUGUGGUUCAAGCGAUGGGGUGACACAGUGGGGUAGCCAUGCCGCUUAGUGGAUUGUUGGUGUAAGCGUGUAGGUGAUGGUGUAGGUAAAUCCGCACUUGUUAGCUGAGACGUGAUGCGUAGCCUUAAUUGGUGAAGUUGGUGAUCCCGUGCUGUCGAGAAAAGCCUCUAGCGAUGUAUAUACUCGGCCCGUACCCCAAACCGACACAGGUAGUCAGGUUGAAAAUACUAAGGCGUUCGGGUGAACUGUGGUUAAGGAACUCGGCAAAAUGCCCCCGUAACUUCGGG